rnacentral:rRNA from 1 species
UUGACCUCAGAUCAGGUAGGGAUACCCGCUGAACUUAAGCAUAUCAAUAACCGGAAGAGGGA